UACAGAAAAAAAUGAAACAAUAAUACACAGUCAACUGUCCAUGCUGUUUUCUGACAAGGAGCAAGGGGUUAGGUAAGCUACAUGCUCCAGCCAGCCUUCUCCUUAUAUACCACACUAGAACGGGUGCAAGAACAAGCCACGCCUCCCUUAGCUGCCCACCACCUUCUUCUUCCUCUCUUUUCAGUAGAUUGUAGUGCUCCUUUCUGUCGCGAAGAACAGGCGCGCGGCUGCGACAAUGGAUGAGCCUUCGCAGGGCGAGGACCGGAAGCUGUCGGCCAUGGAGCAUGUGAAGAAGCGCCAUGAGGAGAAGGGCUUCCUCUAUGCCUGCGCCUUCAUGCUGUGCUGCUGCUUCUGCUGCUACGAGGCCUGCGAGCACUGCCUGGAGUGCUUCUGCUGCUGCGGCAAGAAGGACGAGUAGGAUCGGUUCAACCAAUUCCGUCGCCACGACAUUAUCGAUUUGUUGUAGAUACAUUUCAGUUGUGAAGAAUUGUAAUCAAUCUGGAAGUGUUCAUCGAAAUAAAACAUGAUGUUGUCUUUCAAAAAAAUAAAACAUGAUGUCAUUGGUGUAAAGUGUUAACUGUAAGUUGAAAGUAGUAAGCUAGUUACCCCAGUACCUGUGACUGUGAGCAAGUUCAGUGAAGCAGCUGUACUCCUUGGGACUGUAAAUCUGUUAUUGGUUUGGCUUGUUCAGUGAAGCAGCCUACUCCAACUUGCUUGGGACAAAAGGCUAAGUUGUAGUUGCAGUUGUUGUUGUUUGGCUUGUCAGCACGCUCGUAAUAUAUAUUAUUACAGUCCUUGUGUAUAUAAAGGUUGCUUGUGUUAUUGUUUUU